rnacentral:lncRNA from 1 species
GCUCCGAGCCGCUCGCCCCGCCGCCCGCCAGAGGGUGCCCCCCCGCCCCCAAGUCGGAUCCUUGAGCUGCGGCGGCGGCAGCCAACUGCUCCAUAUUUGGCUUCUAUUACACAUUUACAUACUGGAGCGAGCGAGCGAGCGAGAGAGCGCGAGAGAGCGCGAGGGAGGGAGGGAGGGAGCGAGGGAGGGCGGUCGGAGGGAGGAGGGAGGGGAGGGGAGCGGGGGGAGGAGGAGGAGGAGAGAGCAGAGUAUACCGCAGACAUCAUUUCUACUACAGUGGCGGAGCCGUACAGGACCUGUUUCACUGCAGGGGGAUCCAAAACAAGCCCCGUGGAGCAGCCGCCAGAGCUACAGCAGCCGCAAGACACUGUUUCUCUCCCUCUGCCCCCCCUUCCCCACGCAACCCCAGAUCCAUUUACACUUUACAGAGCAUCGUGCAGCAAGUCAUCAGGGUGGUCCCUUCAAGCUGCAGAUUUGUGUGUCAUCCUUGUACCACAGUCUCCUCCUCUACGGCCACUACAGGGAAGUCCAUCACAUAUCAGGUCACAGAGAGUGCUGGUGGACAUCUCCUCUUGCCCCAAGAUCUUCGUUGGAAGUCCACGGGACUUGGUGUCUUUGCCGUUCAAAGUGUAUAUGAACUCUCCAGGAGGCAUAAUGCGUCACCAUUUUAUUCUGGGCCACCCUAAAGGAUGACACCCAGCUUCAGAGACCUCCUCUUGGACUUCACCCCUGAGAACCAGUGGUUUAGCUCUCCCGUUGUCUGAAAUCUGUUUCCGACUGAUUUUCAGCUGGCUCAGGCUUAGUCAUUAAAUGGCCAGGACAAUGUUGAAUAUUCUACUUGAUCAGCUUGCAGCUGUACACCUUUUGUCACUUUCAGAGCAGCAACUCCCUCUUCAGCUCUUGUCAGUCUUUACAUAGAUAUGCUAGAAAACAGGCACCAAUCCAUUCUUUCCAUCUUGGCGUUUGCCCACAGGCAUAGUCCUGGGAUGACCUGGAGUAAAGGCAGCAGAGGAUAAAUUCAUCUUGCACAGACUUGUUCCUGCUCGUUCUGGCCUGUCUCUCCCCACAGAUCUAGCUUUUAAAUACUCAAGUGAUUGGUUUUGUGUAGGAAUGUGUGGAUUGUUGGGUUGGAAUAAUUUUCUCUCUGGAUUGCUAGUGUUUACAUAAGCAGAUAUAAAAAAAGGUUCUAUCACGGAUUUACAUAGCAGGCUUAUUUCAAAAAGUUACAGGUGCUUACCAAUGGCACAGAAUAAAAAUGUAAUUUUUUUUAUUACA